GCCGGUGUGGCCUAAUGGCUAAGGCGUCUGACUGUAAGUUGUCAAGUGCUUGAGUUCGAAUUAUGCUAAAAAAAAUCAGUCUAAGAAGAUAAUCAGAAGAUUGGGAGUUCGACCCUCCCCAUUGGCU
rfam:Fusarium oxysporum f. sp. cubense race 4 unplaced genomic scaffold scaffold26, whole genome shotgun sequence.